UCGGGCUGAAGUCGUACCGUAAGGAGCGGUGGACUGAUUACGAGUGAGAAUGUUGGCAUUAGUAGCGAGAUGUAGGUGAGAAUCCUACAGGCCGAAUAUCUAAGGUUUCCUCAGGAAGGCUCGUCCGCUGAGGGUUAUUCGGGACCUAAGCCGAGGCCGAAAGGCGUAGGCGAUGGACAAUCGGUUGAUAUUCCGAUACCACUACCAUCGUUAUUAUCGAGGGUGUGACGGAGAAGGAUAGUGUGUGCUAGCGAUUGGAAAUGCUAGUCUAAGCGUUUAGGGAGUUACGGUAGGCAAAUCCGCUGUAACAAUUCUGAGGCGUGAUGGGGAAGGCCCUUGAGGCUGAAGUACAUGAUUCCAUGCUUCCAAGAAAAGCAUCUAGAGAGAGAAGUAGUGCCCGUACCGCAAACCGACACAGGUAGAUGAGGAGAGAAUCCUAAGGCCGGCGGAAGAAUUGCAGUUAAGGAACUAGGCAAAUUGACCCCGUAAGUUCGCGAGAAGGGGUGCCUGCGAGAGCAGGCCGCAGAGAAUAGGCCCAAGCAACUGUUUAGCAAAAACACAGGUCUCUGCUAAAGCGUAAGCUGAUGUAUAGGGGCUGACGCCUGCCCGGUGCUGGAAGGUUAAGGGGAACACUUAGCGCAAGCGAAGGUGUGAACUUAAGCCCCAGUAAACGGCGGCCGUAACAAUAACGGUCCUAAGGUAGCGAAAUUCCUUGUCAGGUAAGUUCUGACCCGCACGAAUGGCGUAAUGACUUGGGCACUGUCUCAACUGCAAAUCCGGCGAAGUUGUAGUGCGAGUGAAGAUGGUCGCUACCCGCGAUUGGACGGAAAGACCCCGUAGAGCUUUACUGCAGCUUAGCAUUGAAUUCCGGUAUUGUCUGUACAGGAUAGGUGGGAGACUGGGAAACUAGGGCGUCAGCCUUAGUGGAGUCAACCUUGGGAUACCACCCUGACAGUACUGGGGUUCUAACAGGACGCCAUGAAACUGGUGACUGGACAUUGUUAGGUGGGCAGUUUGACUGGGGCGGUCGCCUCCUAAAAAGUAACGGAGGCGCCCAAAGGUUCCCUCAGAACGGUCGGAAAUCGUUCGUAGAGUGCAAAGGCAGAAGGGAGCCUGACUGCGAGACCUACAAGUCGAGCAGGGACGAAAGUCGGGCUUAGUGAUCCGGUGGUACCUCGUGGGAGGGCCAUCGCUCAACGGAUAAAAGCUACCUCCGGGAUAACAGGCUGAUCUCCCCCAAGAGUCCACAUCGACGGGGAGGUUUGGCACCUCGAUGUCGGCUCGUCGCAUCCUGGGGCUGUAGUAGGUCCCAAGGGUUGGGCUGUUCGCCCAUUAAAGCGGCACGCGAGCUGGGUUCAGAACGUCGUGAGACAGUUCGGUCCCUAUCCGUCGCGGGCGUAGGAAAUUUGAGAGGAGCUGUCCUUAGUACGAGAGGACCGGGAUGGACUGACCUCUGGUGCACCAGUUGUUCCGCCAGGAGCAUGGCUGGGUAGCUAAGUCGGGAAGGGAUAAACGCUGAAAGCAUCUAAGCGUGAAGCCUCCCUCAAGAUGAGAUUUCCCAUAGCAUAAGCUAGUAAGACCCCUUGAAGAACACAAGGUUGAUAGGUCAGAGGUGUAAGUGUGGUAACAUAUUUAGCUGACCGAUACUAAUAGGUCGAGGGCUUGAUC
rnacentral:rRNA from 1 species